rnacentral:rRNA from 1 species
GAUGAACGCUGGCGGCGUGCCUAAUACAUGCAAGUCGAGCGGACGGACGAGAAGCUUGCUUCUCUGCUGUUAGCGGCGGACGGGUGAGUAACACGUGGAUAACCUACCUAUAAGACUGGGAUAACUUCGGGAAACCGUAGCUAAUACCGGAUAAUAUUUUGAACCGCAUGGUUCAACAGUGAUAGCCGGUUUUGCUGUCACUUAUAGAUGGAUCCGAGCUGCAUUAGCUAGUUGGUAAGGUAACGGCUUACCAAGGCAACGAUGCAUAGCCGACCUGAGAGGGUGAUCGGCCACACUGAAACGAAAACAGGGUCCAGCCUCCACGGGAGGCAGCAGUAGGGAAUCUUCCGCAAUGGGCGAAAGCCUGACGGAGCAACGCCGCGUGAGUGAAGAAGGUCUUCGGAUCGUAAAACUCUGUUAUUAGGGAAGAACAGAUGUGUAAGUAACUGUGCACAUCUUGACGGUACCUAAACAGAAAGCCACGGCUAACUACGUG